CCGUGCUAGAUGGGGAGUUAGCGGUGCCCUGUACCUGCAAUCCGCUAUAGCAGGGUUGAAUUCCUCAUAGAGGCUUUAAUUUGUGGGGACUGGUCUAUAUAACUAAUGUUGAGAAUUGGGCCCUACGCAACGGAAACUCAUGAACCCCGUCAGAUCCGGAAGGAAGCAGCGGUAAGUGAAUAUUUUCGUGUGCCGUAGGCAAACCUAAUUUGAGUUAGUUAUAUAGAUAACGCUCAUAGGUUAUAAGUCGAAGUGAGGUGCACGG
rnacentral:SRP_RNA from 1 species